UACGUAGGGGGCAAGCGUUGUCCGGAUUUAUUGGGCGUAAAGAGCGUGUAGGCGGCCAGGUAGGUCCGUUGUGAAAACUGGAGGCUUAACCUCCAGCUGUCGAUGGAAACCAUCUGGCUAGAGUCCGGAAGAGGAGAGUGGAAUUCCUGGUGUAGCGGUGAAAUGCGCAGAUAUCAGGAAGAACACCCGUGGCGAAGGCGGCUCUCUGGGACGGUACUGACGCUGAGGCACGAAGGCCAGGGGAGCAAACGGG
rnacentral:rRNA from 1 species